rnacentral:rRNA from 1 species
GACGAACGCUGGCGGCGUGCUUAACACAUGCAAGUCGAACGGAAAGGCCCUGCUUUUGUGGGGUGCUCGAGUGGCGAACGGGUGAGUAACACGUGAGUAACCUGCCCUUGACUUUGGGAUAACUUCAGGAAACUGGGGCUAAUACCGGAUAGGAGCUCCUGCUGCAUGGUGGGGGUUGGAAAGUUUCGGCGGUUGGGGAUGGACUCGCGGCUUAUCAGCUUGUUGGUGGGGUAGUGGCUUACCAAGGCUUUGACGGGUAGCCGGCCUGAGAGGGUGACCGGCCACAUUGGGACUGAGAUACGGCCCAGACUCCUACGGGAGGCAGCAGUGGGGAAUAUUGCACAAUGGGCGGAAGCCUGAUGCAGCAACGCCGCGUGCGGGAUGACGGCCUUCGGGUUGUAAACCGCUUUCGACUGUGACGAAGCGGGAGUGACGGUAAUGGGUAAGGAAGCACCGGCUAACUACGUG